UACGUAGGGUACGAGCGUUGUCCGGAAUUAUUGGGCGUAAAGAGCUCGUAGGUGGUUGGUCACGUCUGCUGUGGAAACGCAACGCUUAACGUUGCGCGGGCAGUGGGUACGGGCUGACUAGAGUGCAGUAGGGGAGUCUGGAAUUCCUGGUGUAGCGGUGAAAUGCGCAGAUAUCAGGAGGAACACCGGUGGCGAAGGCGGGACUCUGGGCUGUGACUGACACUGAGGAGCGAAAGCAUGGGGAGCGAACAGGAUUAGAUACCCGGGGUA
rnacentral:rRNA from 1 species